rnacentral:rRNA from 1 species
UCAAACGAGAGUUUGAUCCCGGCUCAGAAUCAACGCUGGCGGCGCGCUUAACACAUGCAAGUCGAGCGAGAAAGGGGAGCAAUCCCUGAGUACAGCGGCGUACGGGUGAGUAACACGUGGGUAAUCUACCUUCUAGUGGGGAAUAACCCUGGGAAACCGGGGCUAAUACCGCAUAAUCCUG